rnacentral:rRNA from 1 species
UUUAAUGAGAGUUUGAUCCUGGCUCAGGACGAACGCUGGCGGCGUGCCUAAUACAUGCAAGUAGAACGCUGAGGUUUGGUGUUUACACUAGACUGAUGAGUUGCGAACGGGUGAGUAACGCGUAGGUAACCUGCCUCAUAGCGGGGGAUAACUAUUGGAAACGAUAGCUAAUACCGCAUAAGAGUAAUUAACACAUGUUAGUUAUUUAAAAGGAGCAAUUGCUUCACUGUGAGAUGGACCUGCGUUGUAUUAGCUAGUUGGUGAGGUAAA